rnacentral:rRNA from 1 species
AGCGAGCGCUGGCGGCAGGCCUAACACAUGCAAGUCGAACGAACUCUUCGGAGUUAGUGGCGGACGGGUGAGUAACACGUGGGAACGUGCCUUUUGGUUCGGAAUAACUCAGGGAAACUUGUGCUAAUACCGAAUGUGCCCUUCGGGGGAAAGAUUUAUCGCCAUUAGAGCGGCCCGCGUCUGAUUAGCUAGUUGGUGAGGUAACGGCUCACCAAGGCGACGAUCAGUAGCUGGUCUGAGAGGAUGACCAGCCACACUGGGACUGAGACACGGCCCAGGCUCCUACGGGAGGCAGCAGUGGGGAAUCUUGCGCAAUGGGCGAAAGCCUGACGCAGCCAUGCCGCGUGAAUGAUGAAGGUCUUAGGAUUGUAAAAUUCUUUCACCGGGGACGAUAAUGACGGUACCCGGAGAAGAAGCCCCGGCUAACUUCGUG